ACAACGUUGGAGAUGAAGCCGGGCCUUGAGUCUGCACCUGCAUAUUCCUACGUCCUCUCAGAGGCCUGUGGACAAUGACUGGGGAGAAAAACCAUGCAGGAAACAGCU
ensembl:snoRNA SNORA73 Small nucleolar RNA SNORA73 family